UUAGUUACCUGGCAGGGGAGACACCGUGAUCAGGCAGGUUGUCUUCCUAGGCGAGGCUCAUCCCCUGCACUCCGGGUGUGCUGUAUCAGGAAUAGUGUGGCCAGCAGGAGCAGGGAAGUGAUCGUGCCCCUGU
rnacentral:snRNA from 8 species